rnacentral:rRNA from 1 species
UUGUCUCAAAGAUUAAGCCAUGCAUGUCUAAGUAUAGCAUUAUACCGCGAAACUGCGAAUGGCUCAUUAAAUCAGUUAUCGUUUAUUUGAUAGUACCUUACUACUUGGAUAACCGUGGUAAUUCUAGAGCUAAUACAUGCUAAAAACCCCGACUUUGGAAGGGGUGUAUUUAUUAGAUUAAAAACCAAUGCCCUUUGGGCUCACUGGUGAUUCAUAAUAACUUCUCGAAUCGCAUGGCCUUGUGCGGCGAUGGUUCAUUCAAAUUUCUGCCCUAUCAACUUUCGACGGCUGGGUCUUGGCCAGCCAUGGUGACAACGGGUAACGGAGGGUUAGGGCUCGACCCCGGAGAAGGAGCCUGAGAGACGGCUACUACAUCCAAGGAAGGCAGCAGGCGCGCAAAUUACCCAAUCCCGAUACGGGGAGGUAGUGACGAUAAAUACUGAUACAGGGCUCUUUUGGGUCUUGUAAUUGGAAUGAGUACAAUUUAAAUCCCUUAACGAGGAACAAUUGGAGGGCAAGUCUGGUGCCAGCAGCCGCGGUAAUUCCAGCUCCAAUAGCGUAUAUUAAAGUUGUUGCAGUUAAAAAGCUCGUAGUUGAACCUUGGGCCUGGCUGGUCGGUCCGCCUCACCGCGUGCACUGGUCCGGCCGGGCCUUUCCCUCUGGGGAACCGCAUGCCCUUCACUGGGUGUGUCGGGGAACCAGGACUUUUACUUUGAAAAAAUUAGAGUGUUCAAAGCAGGCCUAUGCUCGGAUACAUUAGCAUGGAAUAAUAGAAUAGGACGCGCGGUUCUAUUUUGUUGGUUUCUAGGACCGCCGUAAUGAUUAAUAGGGACAGUCGGGGGCAUCAGUAUUCAAUUGUCAGAGGUGAAAUUCUUGGAUUUAUUGAAGACUAACUACUGCGAAAGCAUUUGCCAAGGAUGUUUUCAUUAAUCAGGAACGAAAGUUAGGGGAUCGAAGACGAUCAGAUACCGUCGUAGUCUUAACCAUAAACUAUGCCGACUAGGGAUCGGACGAUGUUAUUAUUUGACUCGUUCGGCACCUUACACGAAAGUACAAGUUUCUGGGUUCUGGGGGGAGUAUGGUCGCAAGGCUGAAACUUAAA